rnacentral:rRNA from 1 species
UACAGGGGGUGCAAACGUUGCUCGGAAUCACUGGGCGUAAAGGGUGCGUAGGCGGGUCUUUAAGUCAGGGGUGAAAUCCUGGAGCUCAACUCCAGAACUGCCUUUGAUACUGAGGAUCUUGAGUACGGGAGAGGUGAGUGGAACUGCGAGUGUAGAGGUGAAAUUCGUAGAUAUUCGCAAGAACACCAGUGGCGAAGGCGGCUCACUGGCCCGUAACUGACGCUGAGGCACGAAAGCGUGGGGAGCAAACAGG